AGCGAACGCUGGCGGCAGGCCUAACACAUGCAAGUCGAACGAACCUUUCGGGGUUAGUGGCGGACGGGUGAGUAACACGUGGGAACGUGCCUUUAGGUUCGGAAUAACUCAGGGAAACUUGUGCUAAUACCGAAUGUGCUCUUCGGGGGAAAGAGUUAUCGCCUUUAGAGGGGCCGGCGUCUGAUUAGCUAGUUGGUUGAGGUAAUGGCUCACCAAGGCGACGAGCAGUAGCUGGUCUGAGAGGAUGAUCAGCCACAUUGGGACUGAGACACGGCCCAAACUGCUACGGGAGGGAGCAGUGGGGAAUCUUGCGCAAUGGGCGAAAGCCUGACGCAGCCAUGCCGCGUGAAUGAUGAAGGUCUUAGGAUUGUAAAAUUCUUUAACAGGGGACGAUAAUGACGGUACCCGGAGAAGAAGCACCGGCUAACUUCGUG
rnacentral:rRNA from 1 species